rnacentral:rRNA from 1 species
GACGAACGCUGGCGGCGUGCCUAAUACAUGCAAGUAGAACGCACAGUUUAUACCGUAGCUUGCUACACCAUAGACUGUGAGUUGCGAACGGUUGAGUAACGCGUAGGUAACCUGCCUGGUAGCGGGGGAUAACUAUUGGAAACGAUAGCUAAUACCGCAUAAUAUUAAUUAUUGCAUGAUAAUUAAUUGAAAGGUGCAAUUUCACCACUACCAGAUGGACCUGCGUUGUAUUAGCUAGUAGGUGAGGUAACGGCUCACCUACGCGACGAUACAUAGCCGACCUGAGAGGGUGAUCGGCCACACUGGGACUGAGACACGGGCCAGACUCCUACGGGAGGCAGCAGUAGGGAAUCUUCGGCAAUGGACGAAAGUCUGACCGAGCAAAGCCGCGGGAGUGAAGAAGGGUUUCGGAUCGUAAAGCUCUGUUGUAAGGGAAGAACGGGUGUGAGAGUGGAAAGUUCACACUGUGACGGUAUCUUAACAGAAAGGGACGGCUAACUACGUG